rnacentral:rRNA from 1 species
UACGAAGGGGGCUAGCGUUGUUCGGAUUUACUGGGCGUAAAGCGUACGUAGGCGGACUAUUAAGUCAGGGGUGAAAUCCCGGGGCUCAACCCCGGAACUGCCUUUGAUACUGGUAGUCUUGAGUUCGAGAGAGGUGAGUGGAAUUCCGAGUGUAGAGGUGAAAUUCGUAGAUAUUCGGAGGAACACCAGUGGCGAAGGCGGCUCACUGGCUCGAUACUGACGCUGAGGUGCGAAAGCGUGGGGAGCAAACAGG